AAGUUCACAGAAAAUCAUUAUUACAUUAGUCAGUGUGUUGUAUGUGCUAUUAUUUAGCGUAACUCGAUUGAACUAUUAGAGAGCACCAACGAAACGAGCCGAAGGGAAGAACGAAUGUAUAUGAAAAUUGAGUUGUGAAAAGAAGUGAAAAGUUUCAAGCGUUCAAUUAAACUUUACUAGUUGUGCUACGGUUAGAUAAAAACAAGUUAACCCAUGGUCGAGCAGAAAAGUUAGAGAUAGUCAAACACGAAGGCAGCCUUUACGUGAAUCACGAUUCGAUAUUUUGUGGUAGACUCACUUUAAGUUUUAUUUCGUUAGUUCUCGCAAGCUGAUCAAAAGUCGACGGACCUCGCAGGUGAGUAGGAUACUGCUGCAUAGGACACAUAUUUCUAUGCACAUGGCCCUGUGAUUGUUUGGGCAUAUGGGGAUGUGACGAAAAGAAAACGAUGAACUGUGUUUUUUUUCAAUGUUCUUAUUAAAAAUUUAUAUAAGCGAUUUCUGGGUGAUCCAAGUUAAACUUGGAGCAAUUCUGACACUUUCUCGAAUAGCUCCAAAUGAGCUGUGAAUGAGGUGUCUUUAAAGUUUGUCUAUUUGAGCAAUAGCUUCAAAGGAGCACAGGCACUAAGCCUUCCGUCUGCUCUAUUUAACGGGCAGGUUCGAUAAGUGCGCGGAAUAAAAGGAACGGAUCCGUUCCAGACGUUCCCGGUUAAUGUUUCCCUUAAACAAAUCAACCUGUUUUGACCUGAGCCGAGAAAAAGCUCUUCUGCCCUUAUCAGGUGUAUGUCUCGCAACGAAGCCACUGUAUAUGAAUAACUUUUCUACAAUGCGCUGUCGUCUUCGUCUGCACAUAAGCCAUUAUAGGCCAACUUUGAUACACGUAGGCCAUAUACGAAUUUCUUUGGGAGUUACCGACCGUUAGGGCCCCCUAAUAGCAUAAGUGGACUUCGUUUCGUGCUGGGAACGAGCCAGCCAGCCAGCCAGCCAUCUAUCUGUCUAUCUGAUGGAAUGCCUAACGGCGAUACCGGACGUACAACUCGAAUCAUGAAGGCAACGCCUUGACGGGUGACAUAAUGGCAAUUAUGAGAGACUACUUUCUUUUUGGAGAAAAAUCGUUGGAGGAGAGAGAAGGAUGUUGGAAGGUUAGUCGUUUCCUGAGCAAGUUUUUCCACCAGAGUAAAAUUUUGCCUGUCGCUGAUCAGACUGUUGGCAACGACGUCAAUCGUGGAUGAAACGCGUGCGUUCCUCUAUCAUCUACGCUUGAAGACCGGCCAGCCUACGAUGGUUUACGAUUAUCAAGUUAAGAUCUAUGUUGCGUACCUUUGAAUUGAAUGCAGGAACUGGCAGUGUGGAGGGUAGGAUAUCAACCGCUAAGGCGUUCAUCAUAGGACCCGCAGUUGACAUCAUACUGUCUGAUCUCCUAAUUUAAUUAACGACGAGUUGCUCGUAUGAAAAGGCUAUCGUACAUUUAACACAAGUUUGAUAUUAGAACUGGGUUCAAUUUUGCUGGGUAUGUGUUUUCCGAUAACAAAACUGCCCACACUGUAACAGCUAUUCAGAAGCAAGUGAUUUCAUCAAUAAUCGAUUCUCCAUUAAACAACAGUGUAUCUGUACUGUAGUGUAAAAGUUUUCAAAAAAAAAAAACUCUUCAUCUUCUAUACUUGUAUAUACCUAAUACAUCUGGUUCAUACAGAGCGAUUUCUUUGGUUCAAGAACUUCCUGCUAUAGUGAUGCAGAAGCAUGAAUAACCAGCUAAAAGCUCUGCUCGAAAUACUCGGUUCAUCCAGGAAAGUGGCCAAACGAUUUCAUCAUAUUUUGCGGCUAAUAUACAUACGGCACUGGGUAUGGGUGACGUUACUAUAUUCUUAUAAUAAUCCAUUGCAGAUCGGAGAACAGAUGCUUGGGUAGCUGCAAAACGCGAUUGGAUAUAUAGAUAGGUUUAAAAUUUGUUAGUCACAGUAGUCUUAACCACUCAUAUUGGACCAUUUAAAAGAUUACUACUAGGUUUUGGUUCGUUAAGUUCUUGAUGAUCCAUUCAUAUAGGAAUUAUUUGUUCAUCAUAGGCACAACUCUACAGGCUCUAGCAGGAAACUUCGUUUAGGAAUGGCCCACUGACUCGUAGCGUAAGUGUUGCUGGGCGAAACUUUCGGGUUCGGAAGCGCCUACAUAGCAUCAUGCACGGCACUAUGCUCACCCGAUACUCUCUUUGAUCAAGCACAUCGAUCUUAAGGUUUCAAAAUUUUCGAUCAAACUUUAAAAACCGAAAGCUGUAAAAGAACUGCUAUAGAAUUUUACAUGUCAAAUUUAAAAUUUGCUAUUCUUACUUUUUAUAAACGCUAAUAAAGCUGUUAUAUUAAUUUAGGUUUUACCCGAUGUCUAUUCAAUUUCGAAGAAAUUUCCGCUGGCCUGCCUAGGCGGGUUCAAAAGCAUUCGUUGACCCAUUCGUUGAUUAACGUUAUAAAAUACCGAGGGUGGUUGUUUUGCUGAAAAGUUUUUUCAAGUCAUCCUUUGCUCUUCGUAUGCCUGGUUUAUAACAACAAGAGAAACCUCGUUGAAGUUUACUAAACAGGAUUGAUUGUCGCAUUUAAUAUCGUUGCCUAGGAAGCGACACGACCGAAACAGCCAAGCUCCACUAUCCGAAAUUUAUAUCAUGACCCCGGGUCAGACAUCGAAGGCAAUGUACCUACGGCUAAAGUCCUGAUGCCUCCCUAAAUUCACCCUUCGUCCCAUAUGAAACCGCUGUUCCAGUCUCCGUCGUCUAGGCAUACGUUGUCGGUUGAUGCCAUUUACAAAGCUCGAAAUAGCUAUAUAAGUUUAUACCGUCCUAUCUAGGCCCUCUGGAUAGGACGCUUGUGGCCUUACUAAGACAUGAGCCGACCAGCCAACACGCGGAUGGAUAUAUAAGGCUAAGAUUUCACUAACUUCGCUGAUGCAUGCGACUAGUUGUCAAUGUUCGUGCGAUAGAUACCACCGACAGACGCCACUGCCUUUGUUGAUACGGUAUCCGCGGAAAACAUUGUAAACUUUGUUGUUGUUGUUGUUGUUGUUGUUGUUGUUAUUAUUCG